rnacentral:rRNA from 1 species
CCCAGACAGCCAGGAUGUUGGCUUAGAAGCAGCCAUCAUUUAAAGAAAGCGUAAUAGCUCACUGGUCGAGUCGGCCUGCGCGGAAGAUGUAACGGGGCUAAACCAUGCACCGAAGCUGCGGCAGCGACACUGUGUGUUGUUGGGUAGGGGAGCGUUCUGUAAGCCUGCGAAGGUGUGCUGUGAGGCAUGCUGGAGGUAUCAGAAGUGCGAAUGCUGACAUAAGUAACGAUAAAGCGGGUGAAAAGCCCGCUCGCCGGAAGACCAAGGGUUCCUGUCCAACGUUAAUCGGGGCAGGGUGAGUCGACCCCUAAGGCGAGGCCGAAAGGCGUAGUCGAUGGGAAACGGGUUAAUAUUCCCGUACUUGGUGUUACUGCGAAGGGGGGACGGAGAAGGCUAUGUUGGCCGGGCGACGGUUGUCCCGGUUUAAGCGUGUAGGUGUGUGUUCCAGGUAAAUCCGGUUCACUUUAACACUGAGGCGUGAUGACGAGGCACUACGGUGCUGAAGCAACAAAUGCCCUGCUUCCAGGAAAAGCCUCUAAGCAUCAGGUAACAUCAAAUCGUACCCCAAACCGACACAGGUGGUCAGGUAGAGAAUACCAAGGCGCUUGAGAGAACUCGGGUGAAGGAACUAGGCAAAAUGGUGCCGUAACUUCGGGAGAAGGCACGCUGACAUGUAGGUGAAGUGAUUUACUCA